rnacentral:rRNA from 1 species
CCUACGGGAGGCUGCAGUGAGGAAUAUUGGUCAAUGGGCGCGAGCCUGAACCAGCCAAGUCGCGUGAGGGAAGACGGUCCUAUGGAUUGUAAACCUCUUUUGUCGGGGAGCAAAAGACGCCACGCGUGGCGUUCCGAGAGUACCCGAAGAAAAAGCAUCGGCUAACUCCGUGCCAGCAGCCGCGGUAAUACGGAGGAUGCGAGCGUUAUCCGGAUUUAUUGGGUUUAAAGGGUGCGCAGGCGGAAGAUCAAGUCAGCGGUAAAAUUGAGAGGCUCAACCUCUUCGAGCCGUUGAAACUGGUUGUCUUGAGGGAGCGAGAAGUAUGCGGAAUGCGGGGUGGAGGGGUGAAAUGCAUGGA